rnacentral:rRNA from 1 species
AAAAGCUCGUAGUUGAACCUUGGGCCUGGCUGGCCGGUCCGCCUCACCGCGUGUACUGGUCCGGCCGGGCCUUUCCUUCUGGGGAACCUCAUGCCCUUCACUGGGCGUGUUGGGGAACCAGGACUUUUACUUUGAAAAAAUUAGAGUGUUCAAAGCAGGCCUUUGCUCGAAUACAUUAGCAUGGAAUAAUAGAAUAGGACGUGUGGUUCUAUUUUGUUGGUUUCUAGGACCGCCGUAAUGAUUAAUAGGGAUAGUCGGGGGCAUCAGUAUUCAAUCGUCAGAGGUGAAAUUCUUGGAUUGAUUGAAGACUAACUACUGCGAAAGCAUUUGCCAAGGAUGUUUUCAUUAAUCAGUGAACGAAAGUUAGGGGAUCGAAGACGAUCAGAUACCGUCGUAGUCUUAACCAUAAACUAUGCCGACUAGGGAUCGGACGGUGUUAGUACUUUGACCCGUUCGGCACCUUACGAGAAAUCAAAGUUUUCGGGUUCUGGGGGGAGUAUGGUCGCAAGGCUGAAACUUCAAGAAAUUGACGGAAGGGCACCACCAGGCGUGGAGCCUGCGGCUUUAAUUGACUCAACACGGGGAAACUCACCAGGUCCAGACACAAUAAGGAUUGACAGAUUGAGAGCUCUUUCUUGAUUUUGUGGGUGGUGGUGCAUGGCCGUUCUUAGUUGGUGGAGUGAUUUGUCUGCUUAAUUGCGAUAAUAACGAGACCUUAACCUGCUAAAUAGCCAGG